UACCUGGUUGAUCCUGCCAGUAGUCAUAUGCUUGUCUCAAAGAUUAAGCCAUGCAAGUCUAAGUACGAGCUCUCGUACAGUGAAACUGCGAAUGGCUCAUUAAAUCAGUUAUGGUUCAUUUGAUCGUACAGUUUACUUGGAUAACUGUGGUAAUUCUAGAGCUAAUACAUGCG
rfam:Ciona savignyi cont_35612, whole genome shotgun sequence.